CAACUCUUCAACACAAGUUGGUUAUGGGUUCUGUUGUAAUUUUUAUAUAACAGGCUUUAAAGUUGUAUGCUCUGCAGGCUGCUUUGCCAAACCAAAACAUAGUAAAUUUUACUCUUUGUUUCUAGUAAGGCUUCGCACGCUCUGCCUGAAUAAAAUUAUUUAAUUUUUAAG
rnacentral:misc_RNA from 2 species